rnacentral:lncRNA from 1 species
UUGACCGUAAUAUUAAUGCUAGAGAAAGGGCCUGCCUUCUAUCCAUAAGCACAAAAUCUCUCUUGGCAAUAGAGGGGCUAUUAUUGUGAGAGAAUGAUACUUUUCAUCCCACAUCGAUUGUAAGUCAAAACUCUAAUUUAUAUGGGAUCAGACUUUCUCUAUAAUUUUUAUUUUUAAGAAGGAUCAUGAUAAAAAAAUAUGUAAUAUAAAUUAAUAAAAUUAGUGAAAUCUAAUG